rnacentral:misc_RNA from 1 species
GGCAACGGAGCAGAAUCUAAGGACGAAAUGGACUGUUUAUAUAGUCUCUGAUCCUUAUAAUUAGAGAAGAUCAAAAUGUCUCCUUGUAUACAAAAAUCACCACCACCAUACUCCUGAGCCAACGUCCUCACAGCAAAAUCUUUAGGAGUUACAUCUAUAGGGUCUUCCCCUGGUUUCCCUGGUUCCUUCACAAUAACCGCUCGUCCGGACUCUGUAGGUCGAGAUUCUAGCCAGAAAAGACGACCAAGUGAAUCAACCGAAAAGCCACCGAGGCGUUUAGUGGAUCCAGAAACGAUAUCAGCGGUGAUGGGCGACUUCCAAGAACCAUAGGGUGCUAUGUGUUUCUUCACAUUGGGAUUUGUAGAAGACAUUCUAAUGGGAAGAGAGAAUUUUCUGGUGAGUAGCUUUGUUGAAGGAGUAAUGUGAAUGAGUGAAGAUGAGAAUGGUGAUACUGAUGCAAAGU